AGCAACUCUGUGCCCAGCUUAGAGGACUGAAAGAGGCCACAACCUUCCGCCUGCUGGAGGGUGGAGGAUGGAUGGAGCCUGGAGCCUGGGUCACUACCUUGUUGCGGUUUGUGGUGGCGAUAGAGCAGUAGGAUGGUGGCCGGCAGCAGGAGCUUCUGCUGAUGGGCUGGGGGACUAGAAGGAAGAGGCACUGCCACGUGCUGGAGGCUGGAACCUGUGCCACCAUGGCUCGCCUCGCUGUGGUUGGUGGUGACGUCGGAGACUGCAGCUCAGCCACAGUAGUAGAAAUGUGAUGGGGUAGGAUCCAGCAUUUGGAGGCAUACAUGAAACUCCAUCCUCUCCAAUUUCAGGGCAACCAUGUGGAGAUGAUCAAAAUGCUUCACCUUCAAAACUUUCAAAGGAAGAGUUAAUACAGAGUAUGGAUCGUGUAAAUCGAGA
rnacentral:lncRNA from 1 species